ensembl:lncRNA
AGGAAGUGACCGAAACCCGGCGGUAUCGCACGGUCAGUCCCUGCGGUUCUGGCCGGGAGAGCUCUGGAGCAGCGAACCUCGGCGAUGAGGCCUCCUGGAGCUCUCAAGAAGCAUGGCUGAAGUCUUCAAUCUGCACGGCUUUUCAGAAUUUGCUAAGCCAGAUAAAACACUCAUCCAAUCUUUGAGACCUGCCAUGAUAGAGAUGUUUCCUCCGUGCUUUGUCCCUGAACCUGGCUAGGAAAUGCUGCGUAGAAGGAAGAGACAAGUCAUCACCCUGUAGCAGAUAUCACUUGAAUAAAGUAUGUGAAGUGUUAUAAAGCCUAACUCUCAUGCAAUUGUGUCAUUGGCCAGAAAGCAGAAUAAUAAAGGAUUAAUUUGAGUU